CCCGAAUCGGAUCGGAGCCAGUCUGCUGUCGGACAACAUGAAGACCACCCUAAGGCACUGACAUCCUGUAGAAAACAUCACAGACUCAUGCCCCCCAGGUAGUAACUCUAAUAACACUGUUUAUGAAAAUGAAUCUGAAUCUGUCAAUGUUUUCUACAGAGCAAUAUAUGACACCACUACCUCAGAACAGGCUGCUUCAUAUAAUAUUAUGGCAUGCGCCUAUAAUCCUAUUCCAGUUUUAAUCUCUACCCAACGCACAGUUAAAAACAAAGGCCAUAGAUACAAUAGAAACAAUAGAAGCCCAGCAAAUAUUCUAUCUAUACCCCGGCAUAUUCCUCCUUCCUGUGAGCCACUAUAUCCAGAAAAUAUUUCAAUGGCAAUACUAAAUAUUAGGUCACUAUCAGGGAAAACAUUUCUCAUUAACGAUCUUAUAUGUGAACGUAAAUUAGACUGUAUGUUUUUAACAGAAACCUGGCUAAACAAAAAUGGGUCUGCAGCUCUUAUUGAAGCAUCCCCUCCCAAUUAUAGCUUUUUUCAGUCCAUUAGAACAGGUAAAAAAGGGGGCGGGACAGCCACCAUAACCACGGAUGCCCUGUGCUGCAGGAGCAUCUCCUUCGAUGAUUUUGCCUCAUUUGAAUAUCAUGCCAUAGUUCUAAAGUGCCAGCCUCCUGUUCUGACAGUAACUGUGUAUAGGCCACCCAAGCAAUGUCCCACUUUUCUAACAGACUUUUCAGAACUACUCUCCAUUAUACACACAAACUACGAUAAGAUUAUUAUCACUGGUGAUUUUAACAUACAUGUUGAUAAUGGGAACGACUCAAAGGCCCGGGAUUUUAUGAAUCUCUUGAAUUCCAUGGACUUUACACAACACAUCACUGAACCCACUCACAACCGUGGCCACACCCUUGAUCUAGUUAUUACAAAGGGUCUUACAACUGUUAUAUCGUCUAUCUGUGACCUUGCUCUUUCUGACCACUUUUGUAUUUUCUUUACAGCACUGGUACCUAAAGUUAGAAAUAGUGCUGAAUGUUUUAUUAAGAAACGCUAUCUUAACUCUGCAGCAGCUGAGAAUUUCAAAGUAAUGAUGAACAUAACUAGUGCAAAAAACCCAGAUACGGGGCCAUCAUGUGUUAAUGAUCUAGUAACUACUCUAAAUACAAAAUUAAGGACAGCACUUGACUCUGUAGCACCAUUGAAACAAAAAAAGGUUUUAGCCAAACAAAAAGCUCCAUGGAGAAAUGAGGAAAUUAUUAAACUUAAGAGAUCCUGCAGAAGGUCUGAGCGUACAUGGAGAAAGACCAAGCUACAGGUCCACCUUGAUAUCUUUAAGGAUAAACUUUCAGUCUUUAAUAAAGCAAUAAGAAAUGCUAGGAAGGAUCAUUUCUCUAAUUUGAUAUCUACAAAUUCUAACAAUUCCAGGGUCCUCUUUUCAACAAUAGACAGCCUUAUAAAUCCUGCACCUAAAGUAGAUGAUAGUCUCUUUUCCACCUCCAAAUGUAAGGAAUUUGCAGCAUUCUUCAGAGAUAAGAUAACGAACAUUAGGAAAAAUAUUGCUCAAGAAAUUCCAAAUGUCUUGUUUUCUGAUCCCCUUCCACCAUGCUGUAACAGUAUGAGCUUUUUUGCACUGGCUGAUAUAGAAAUGCUGAGCAAAGUAGUGUCACAACUGAAGCCGUCUACAUGCCCUCUUGAUCCCCUUCCCACCAAAUUUUUUAAGACCAUCUUUGACUCUGUGUCUAAGGACAUUCUAGCCAUUAUAAACUGUUCCCUGCUUACAGGUAUUUUCCCAUCAGAACUUAAAACUGCCCUGGUGAGACCCCUCCUGAAGAAAAGCAAUUUAGACUCUUCAGUUCUAAACAAUUUUAGACCCAUCUCUAACCUUCCCUUUCUAAGCAAAAUCCUGGAAAAAAUUGUCUUUAAACAGUUAAAUAAUUUCCUAGAUGCUAACUGUGCAUUUGACACCUUCCAAUCUGGUUUUCGCUCCAAUCAUAGCACAGAAACGGCAUUAGUCAAGGUUGUAAAUGAUCUCAGGAUUAAUGCUGACUCCAAAAAACUAUCUGUCUUGGCCCUUCUGGAUCUGAGCGCAGCCUUUGAUACUGUUGAUCACAAUAUCCUUAUUGAUAGACUUGAAAAUUGGGUUGGCCUCACUGGUCCGGUCCUAAACUGGUUUAGGACCUAUCUAACUGGCCGGGAAUACUUUGUCGCCCUCGGAGACCACAGCUCAAAAAACAUUUGUAUGACCUGUGGGUCCCUCAAGGAUCCAUUUUAGGGCCCUUACUUUUCAGUCUAUACAUGCUACCCCUUGGUAGUGUAAUUAGGAGGCACAACAUCGACUAUCAUAGCUAUGCAGAUGACACCCAGCUCUAUAUUUCUGUAACACCCAACAACUACAGCUCUAUUGAUUGUUUGGUAAAUUGCAUUUCUGAUAUAAAUGUAUGGAUGUCACAAAACUUUCUCCAGCUAAACCAAGAUAAAACAGAGGUAUUAGUCAUUGGUGAAAAAAACAAGAGAGAGAAACUAACUGCACACUUAAAAACACUAGCACUUAACACCAAGCACCAAGCCAGAAACCUAGGCGUCAUACUUGACUCAGAUCUCAAUUUUGAAACCCAUAUCAAAAAUA
rnacentral:lncRNA from 1 species